GACGAACGCUGGCGGCGUGCCUAAUACAUGCAAGUCGAACGCUUCUUUCCUCCCGAGUGCUUGCACUCCAUUGGAAAGAGGAGUGGCGGACGGGUGAGUAACACGUGGGUAACCUACCCAUCAGAGGGGGAUAACACUUGGAAACAGGUGCUAAUACCGCAUAACAGUUUAUGCCGCAUGGCAUAAGAGUGAAAGGCGCUUUCGGGUGUCGCCGAUGGAUGGACCCGCGGUGCAUUAGCUAGUUGGUGAGGUAACGGCUCACCAAGGCCACGAUGCAUAGCCGACCUGAGAGGGUGAUCGGCCACACUGGGACUGAGACACGGCCCAGACUCCUACGGGAGGCAGCAGUAGGGAAUCUUCGGCAAAGGACGAAAGUCUGACCGAGCAACGCCGCGUGAGUGAAGAAGGUUUUCGGAUCGUAAAACUCUGUUGUUAGAGAAGAACAAGGACGUUAGUAACUGAACGUCCCCUGACGGUAUCUAACCAGAAAGCCACGGCUAACUACGUG
rnacentral:rRNA from 1 species